rnacentral:rRNA from 1 species
GACGAACGCUGGCGGCGUGCUUAACACAUGCAAGUCGAACGAUGAAGCCCAGCUUGCUGGGUGGAAGAGUGGCGAACGGGUGAGUAACACGUGAGUAACCUGCCCUGUACUCUGGGAUAAGCACUGGAAACGGUGUCUAAUACUGGAUACGACCUAUCACCGCAUGGUGUGUGGGUGGAAAGAUUUAUCGGUUCUGGAUGGACUCGCGGCCUAUCAGCUAGAUGGUGAGGUAAUGGCUCACCAUGGCGACGACGGGUAGCCGGCCUGAGAGGGUGACCGGCCACACUGGGACUGAGACACGGCCCAGACUCCUACGGGAGGCAGCAGUGGGGAAUAUUGCACAAUGGGCGCAAGCCUGAUGCAGCAACGCCGCGUGAGGGAUGACGGCCUUCGGGUUGUAAACCUCUUUUAGUAGGGAAGAAGCGAAAGUGACGGUACCUGCAGAAAAAGCACCGGCUAACUACGUG